GAAUCUUGAAAAUAAUAUAGUACUAUAAUAAUAAAAAAAACAUGCUUCAAAUUAUUUUUAUUAUGCAAUUUUUUUUUUUUUUUCUUUUGGGAUAAAAAAAUGACUGCCAGUUUUUUUUUUUAAUUAUAUUAGCCUACUGAGAAUUGGGUGGUUUAAACGUGUAUAAUAAUAAUAAUAAUCAUUAUAAUAAUAAAUCUUUAUUAUGCUUUUUUUUUUAAAUGACUGACAGUUUUUGUGAGAUUUCCCCAUUUAGUAAUUAAAAAAACUCAUGUUUUUUUAAAGUUGUAUUAUAACGAGUGUAUAUCAGGAUGUUUCCAUUUGAAUAUUUACACUGCAAGUUUUGGCUGUAAACUAUGCACUAUAUAUUCCAAGUUACAUAGCGGAUUAAAUAUAAAGGCUUUGUAUGUGGAAAAGCUUGGCAUGAUGCAGAGGAGAGGCUGCGUUUCUGGGUGUCAGUCCUUUACUCUCCGAUCUCUUUGGAAGAUCCAUAUCUGAUGCACCUAUAAUGCCAGUCCCUUUGGGAGAUGUGAUAUUUCUUAUUAUAUACAGUAUUCCACUUCUAUUUUGGCUGUGUUUAGUGCAUAUAAAUAGAGCUCUGUGUUAUAUAGACACCAUGUACAGUUCUGAUCUGAACUCUAUUGUUUUAAACUCGUCUCUAUGUACAGUAGGUGCACUUUCCUGGAACCAGGCUGCAAAAAUAUACACGCACAUGUCUUUUUCAGCAUAUUUAUUCUAUUUAUUCUGUGACUUAUUCAUGUGAUGCUAUUUAUUUAUUAUUUGUUGCAUAUGUGUUUUGUUAUUUAUUCAUUUUGAAACUUACGUUGGAAACACAUUUUUGAUCGUUUCCAAUGAUAAGCUUCUGCGUUCUUUAAAGUCAACAUGAAAUCAGAAUCGAUUCGAUUUACUUUCUUAAAAGAUGUUUCUGGUCUCAUUUUGAGUGAUUCAUCAAUGCACAUUAUUCCAAAGAUCUUCAAUUUUUUUGUACCUGAAACAACUUCAGAAAUACAUUUUAUCUCUCAAGCAUCUGCCGUACAGAGAAACGUCAUCAUCUAAUUCAUUCCUGAUGCAUUUUCUAUCUUGCUUUUUUCUAUAUUUUUUCUUUAAAAGCUGUUGCACUCUGAAAUGCAUCACAAUUUGAAAAAAAAAAGAGUUUCAUGUUGACCUUAAAUGCAGAACUGAGAUGAAUUGUUAUGAAAUAAUUUUUUCGAGCAGAUGACUGAUUGUUGUUUUAUGAGUUUGCAUUUUGCAAAUAUUUAUUAUGAUUUAUUGUACUAUUUAUUCUCUCAUUCGCUCCUUCAAAUGGAGACUGAACUGGUCUUUAUCAGUGUUUUCUUCUUCUUUCUCAAUCUUCCUGUGAGUUCUGGAAAGAGCUAAUAAAGGAACCAGAUUGCAGUGAACUUUAACCUUGUGAUGCAGGAAUCGACCUCAGUCUUCCUUUCUCAGUGUUAUAUGAUUUUACAAACAGCUGUUGAGUUAAUCAUAUGAGUUGAUACGGCUCUAACUUCCCAACUGUAUAAAGUCAGUAGAUCUAGUGACCAGUCAUAAUUAAACACAUAAUAAAAGUAUCUACAAAUGGAUCAUCUUCAUGUGCUGUUCUUGAUUUUGAGCUUCUGUUUGUUUCUUGUCAGGGUUAAUAUUGAAAACUACUAUUAAAACAUUUUUGUUGAAAUAAAUAAAAGCUAAAAUAAAAUAAAACAAGGUAAAAAACAUAAAAUAAA
ensembl:lncRNA